UGUGGCCUUCAGUGCUGUCCCUGCAGGGAGCCAACAAGAAACACGGAGAGAGACUAUUUACAAGGGCCUGGAGUGACAGGACAAGGGGGAAUGGCUUCACUCUGACAGAGGGAAGGGUUAAGAUGGGAUGUUAGGAAAGAAUUCUUUCCUAGGAGGGUGGGGAGGCCCUGGCCCAGGUUGCCCAGAGAAGCUGUGGCUGCCCCUGGAUCUCUGGAAGUGUCCAAGGCC